rfam:Haloplasma contractile SSD-17B Contig6, whole genome shotgun sequence.
UCCAUCGCGAGGUGGAAUCUGAAGGAAGCGCUAGGCAAAACUCUGGUCCGAGGGAUACGAAUCACAUAUAAGGCUAGCAUAGUUUGGAUAAGUCUGCUAAACAAGAUGAAGUCCAAAACGGUUCGAAGACUAUGAGAGUAAAUGUGGCGGAUAGAUGGAGUGAAAGUGGUUAUGC